rnacentral:rRNA from 1 species
AGAGUUUGAUCCUGGCUCAGGACGAACGCUGGCGGCGUGCUUAACACAUGCAAGUCAAGGGGGCCCAGCAAUGGGCAACCGGCGAACGGGUGCGUAACACGUGAGCAACCUACCGAACUGUGGGGGAUAGCCGGCCUAACGGCCGAGUAAUACCGCAUACGCUCUCAGAGAGGCAUUUCUUUGAGAGGAAACCUACGGGACAGAUCGAGGGGCUCGCGGCCUAUCAGCUAGUUGGCGAGGUAACGGCUCACCAAGGCAACGACGGGUAGCUGGUCUGAGAGGAUGGCCAGCCACAUUGGGACUGAGAUACGGCCCAGACUCCUACGGGAGGCAGCAGUGGGGAAUCUUGCGCAAUGGCCUAACGGCUGACGCAGCGACGCCGCGUGUGGGAUGAAGCUCUUCGGAGUGUAAACCACUGUUGCCCGGGACGAACAGCUCGAUUAAUCGAGCCUGACGGUACCGGGUGAGGAAGCACCGGCUAACUCCGUGCCAGCAGCCGCGGUAAUACGGGGGGUGCGAGCGUUGUCCGGAAUCACUGGGCGUAAAGGGCGCGUAGGUGGUUUGAUAAGGGUGUGGUGAAAGUCCGGGGCUCAACCCCGGAUCUGCCGUGCCGACUGUCAAACUCGAGGACUGUAGAGGCAGACGGAAUUCCGGGUGUAGCGGUGGAAUGCGUAGAGAUCCGGAGGAAGACCGGUGGCGAAGGCGGUCUGCUGGGCAGUUUCUGACACUGAGGCGCGACAGCGUGGGGAGCAAACAGGAUUAGAUACCCUGGUAGUCCACGCCGUAAACGAUGGGUACUAGGUGCCUGGGGGAGCGACCCUCUGGGUGCCGGCGCUAACGCAGGAAGUACCCCGCCUGGGGAGUACGACCGCAAGGUUGAAACUCAAAGGAAUUGACGG